rnacentral:rRNA from 1 species
UAAACUGGGAUUAGAUACCCCACUAUGCUUAGCCUUAAACCUAGAUGUUAAUAAAAACAUCCGCCAGGGUACUACGAGCACAGCUUAAAACCCAAAGGACUUGGCGGUGCCUCAGAUCCACCUAGAGGAGCCUGUUCUAGAACCGAUAACCCCCGUUAAACCUUACCAUCCCUUGUUUUUUCCGCCUAUAUACCGCCGUCGUCAGCUUACCCUAUGAGGGAACAACAGUAAGCAAAAUGAACAAAAUCCAAAACGUCAGGUCGAGGUGUAGCGUACGAGAUGGAAAGAAAUGGGCUACAUUUUCUAUUACAGAAUACUACGGAUAGUGCCCUAAACUAGCACUUGAAGGCGGAUUUAGCAGUUAUUUUAAAGCAGAGCGUCUUUUUGAAUUUGGCUUGAG